GGUUCUUGGUGCACAUUGGAGCCAGUGGCUUGUGGGGGGAUUUGCAAAGUGGGCCAGGGUCUGGGGUCUGUUGGGGAAGCUGGUCUAUUGGGGAACAUUUCUUCUGCCAGCAGAAUAGAAUUCCAUGGAGGCCCCACAAAUGCUGGAAUCUAGGGUGCUCUGAAUGUGCAUGUGUGUGUGCGUGUGAGUGUGCCUUUUGAGGAUGUCACUGUGGUCCCUGGCUGCCAUAGUUUUUUGAUUUCCCACCGUGUGUGAUCAGGAUCCUGCUGGUGGUAGAAAUGUUCACGAGUGGUGAAACUCAUCAGGUCAGCAGCCCACCUGAGACUACAGGCCCUGUGUUUGGUGUGUUGUCCAUACACCCUUAUUUCUCAGGAGGCUGUCUUCCAGCCCCACCUGCAGCCCGGGCUCAUUCUGUGCCUUCUCUCUGAUCUUCUUGUGUGGAACUUGGCUUCACUGACUGGCCUUGUGAGCUGGUUCUUAGAAAGGACUGUGGGUGGGACAAUCCUGUAGUGACCAACCAGGCCUGUUUGCUGGAGGGACCUGGGACAUGGUUCUGGAAAAGACUGGAAAAGUUGAGGGCAAAGAAGCAUGAGUCAGUCACCACAUCUAGACCAGGCUUCUUGCCUGGGUAACCCUGUCUGCCAGCUUCCUUGGGUCUGCUCAGAGUCCAGAGUUUCCCCGAGGAGUUCCCGUUGAGGCUGGGUGGGUUAAGAACCCAGCUGGUAUCCAUGAAGAUGUCAGUUCGAUCCCUGGGUUUGUUCAGUGGAUUGAGGAUCCCAUGUUGCCAUGAGCUGUGGUGUAGGUUGCAGACAUGGCUUGGAUCCCGAGUUGCUGUGACUGUGGCAUAGGCUGUAGCUCUGAUUCGACCCCUAGCCUGGGAACUUCCAUAGGCCAUGGGUACAGCCCUAAAAAGAAAAUUAAAAAAAGAAUUUCCCUGAGAAGGAUGUUGCAUUCCAAAUGACCUCCUGUGAUUCUGGAAGCUCUUUUAUGUGGGCUGCCCUUCUUGGACCGAAUGCUGGGGCUCAGUCAAGAGUCAUUUGACUCAGAGAUUGGGUGGGAUGUAUUGGUGCCUGGGGUUGGGGUGGAUCAGAAAUCAGGCAGGAAAGCUGGAAAAUAGAUGUCAUCACUCUUGAUGUUUCAUGGCAAAAGCUCAGUGAGGAGGUGACUGUAGACAUUGGGAGGUGGUGAAAUUUCACCCCUCAGAAUUCUCCUUGGGGAGAAAGCUCUACAUGAUGUUCAGGAUAAAUAGCUCUCAAACUGCAUGAGAGAAGGAGUAAGACACUGAAUGUCAUGCUUGAGUCAUAAAGGUGGUGGCCAAACAGCCUUCAAGGAGGACAGGAUUCUGCGAAUUGAGGGCCCUCCAGGAGCUGAGCCUUCUGGAGAAUCUGGUUGUGAAGCCCUGGCUGAUGUCACUUGGUGGCAUAAUAGAAAGGGGAGAAACUUAAAGUUGGGAUUUGGGAAAGGAGAAGAGAGAAACUAAGGCCAGUUGUAUGGAGGACGAUGGGGCAGGGGGACAGUCUAUGUCCAUGGGACUUAACUCUCCUGGGCAGCCCUGAGUGUCUCAGGAUGAAUUGACAGUGGCUUGUUGUGGGCUGGGCUGCGUGACCACCAUCUUUGUCUCCUCUCCAGAGUCCUCGGUAAGAUCUCUGUUGCCUUGCAUGUGAGUGGAUUCUGUGUGGGAAAUUUCAGGUUGAUCCUUGAUGUGGGAUGAAGGGAGACAAUGCAGAAGUCCUCAUUGUGGCUCAGUGGGUUAAGAACCCAGCUAGCAUCUAUGUGGACAUGGGUUUGAUCCCUGGCCUCGCUCAGAGGGUUAAAGAUCUGGCAUUGCCCCAAGCUGCAGCAUAGGUCAAAGAUGAGGCUCAGAUCUGGUGUGGCUGUGGCUGUAAAGUAGGCCAGCAGCUGCAGCUCCAGUUUGACCCCUAGCCCAGGAACUUACAUAAGCCUCAGGUGUGGCCCUAAAAAAAAAAAAGACUGUGCAUUCUACACAUACGGUGGAGAUGGUGUGCAUUCUACACAUACGGUGGAGAUGGUGUAUAGGGAACAACAGAUAGUUUGGUUGCACAAAUGUGAUGCCUGUUGCUUCCGUGUGGCCACUGAGGACAGUUCUAACUAUCUUCAUCAGCAUCAGCUAAGAGUUACUGAGCAUAAUUCUGGGCCAGAUGUUUAUUUUUUUAUCCUCGUGGAAAAUAUGGAAUGCUCCUCAUUCCAUUCACCAUGGAUGGAAGCUAUUGAAGGAAUGCUUGGAGGAGGAAUGCUUUGAGUACAUUGUGUGAGUGUGUGUGGUGGGGAGGCUGAGUGUAGGGGAGGAGGGGGUCAAGAAAGCCUUCACAAGCCUUCAUAGGGAGGAAAGCCUUGCAUUUCAAGAUGAACUGAGCACAUUUGAUGAUGGAGAUGAUAUCAAAGAUAAAAACAUAGCCGAGCUUGAAAAUAAGGGACUACUUAUUGGGCCAGAGGUUGAGAAAACUACCUAAUAAGACAGCAAACAUCUGAGUUGAGUUUGGCAAUGUGAGUUAGGAUCCUGAAAGUCAAAAGAGAGGAAAUUAUUCCAGAACGAGGGAGCAGUGGGGACAGAGCAAUGGCAUGGCGUGAAGGGGGCAUGAGGCUGGCACCGCAAGCACAAAGCCACCUGAGGGGAAGUGAGACUGGGAAAGUGGGCUGGAGACCGCUUGUCACAUCUAAGCUGUCAUGCUGAGCUAAGACUCUGGACUGAAUUUUGUAGGAAAAGGAGAUUUUGAGGGAGACACCAUGAUUGGUGGUUGUACCAAGGGAAACACAGAUGGACAAGUGGAGGUAUAAUUGGUGAGGCAAGAACUCAGGGAUGCUAGGGUGGUAGGGAGUGAGCUGUCCUCGCCUGUGUCAGGACAGGAGGAGAGGAUUGUUGCCAUGGACCCGAUGAGGCAAGGCCGAACUAGCACCACACAGUGGAGGCAUGGCGGCCAUGUGUGUGAUCCUUGGAAGUAGAAUCCACAGGUCAAGUGCACUGGUAGUCACCUUAGAUACUGCUGAUGAUGACAAUGUCAUUGGGCAUCUCUUGGGAGCCAGCAUGGUGCCAGGCACUAUGUUUACAUUAUGGUCGUGUUGAAGGGCAAGGACCACAUGGUAUUCCUUGCUUAGCUCCUAAUUUGGUGUCAUGUGAUAGGAGUUGAGGAAGCCAUGAAGCCAGGGUUAGCAACUAAGUCACGCCCAUUUUACAGUUGAGAAAACUGAGGCCUAGGAAUGGCAAUGAGGCAACAGAACCAGGCUAAUACCCAUCUCCAGCCUCCCUAUUGAGUGCUCUUCCUGUGUCAUGACUUCCCAGUUGAAGAUAAUGCCUCUUCUUUUUGAAGCCACUGUCAGCUGCUGCUUUGGCUGUGACAUUUUGACCUUACUGCCUCUGAGCUAAUUAGGUCCUGGGGCUGCUAGGCCUGAUUCUCUUAACGUUUGCAUGGACAAGUGUGAUGUACCCAGGCCUCCUUGCCUGACACUGCUGUGUGAUGCCAGCUGUUUGCUGAAGGUCUCCAUGGAGAAUAUGCUGCCUGGCUUGCUCUGGUGCGCAGAGGGCAGGCAGCUCAGAGUGACAGGUGGGGCCUUCAGGACAGGCCUCUCCUUUAGGAAAGGCAGGUCCUUAUUCCAAGCAAGGAGCCAAUUUCCUAUUGCAGCCUCCGUGUGCGAGAGAAAGCAGCUCUGCCUGUUCAGAACCCAAAGCUGUGUUUGUCUUGAACUGUCCAAAUGUUUAUCCUUGCACCAGUGGGACUCGAGCGAGACUAGACACCCCGGCCAUGCAGUUUCCCUUUUCAAUUUUUAAUUCAUUUUCCUUGACGCACAGCUCAGAAGCUUGGCCUCCACAUCUGGGCCCCUUUCUCACCUGUCUCAUUGUCACAGGUGAGUCUCAAAGCCAGGGCAUGGUGGGUAAGGCCCAGCCAGGGAAGGGUUCAACAAGACAACCUCAGCAUGUCUGUAGAUUCAUGGGUUCUCGAGAACUUCUCAGACGAGCACAUUGUGCAUUCAGGAAGUCCUUACUUCUCACCUGCACCAGGCGCUCUUCCAGGCACUGGGCAUAAGGCAGUGAGUGCCAGAGACCCAGGGCGUGAAUUAUUUACGUUGAUAUAAAGUUGUAGAGCUCAGUGUAAACAAUGACAAAUGAGAAUCACCAUUCGCCAGUGCUUUUUAUAGCUACCACCUGGAGCUUCACCACCAAAGUGAUAAACAUGCUUUGACCAGGGCUCAGAAUAGCCCGUCUUGCGUUGUCUCUCCCCUUGGCACUCAGGCUUAGCUUCACAAAAACAGCAGAUCUGGACAGGGCCCCCUCUUGGAGCAAUGGCUGAGGUUUCUGUAUUACAGUCUCCUAGGCUGUCAAGGAUUACUGCUUCCCUUAUCUUUUUUAACAUUAAAGUAUUUCUUUUUGUUUUCUGUUUGGCUGUGCCCAUGGCACAUGGAAGUCCCCAGGCCGGGAUCCAACCCGUGCCAUAGCAGUGACCCAAGCUACUGGAGUGACACCAGAUCCGUUAUCCACUGUGCCGUAGGAGAACUCUGUGGUUUCUGAUGUAAAGUUGGUACAUGCUUAAUUCAAAAUUUGGGAAUUUACUGGGAGAAUGGAUGCUCAGUUCCACUUUGGAGGUGGCCCCGCACUAAGGGAUAUAUCAGUGUUGCAGUGAAUUCCACUGAGACACCCCCAGGCUGCGGAUGUAGUUGGGGUCCUGGCUCACUACAUCUCACGUUCUCUGCUUCUGCAGACUUGGGGUAGAAAUUUCUUCCUGCCAGGAUUGCCAUGGUCCUCCUGGUGGACCGCCAGUGAAUACUCUAAAGUGGAAAAGAGAUCCUGGCCCCUUGUUGCAGUGGCUCCUUGGAGCCUGGUUGGUGGGCCAUUGACAAUACACAGCGCCUCAGGGUUUGCAUUCUGUGUUUUCACAUCCUCCCAGCUUCACCCGUGUCUUCCCUCAUUUCCCUUUUGCCUCAUGUGUGUGGUUGUGUGCUCUGUACAGUUUUGUGAGCCAAGCGAAAUCUUUCUAUGAGUCAGGCAGUCCAGGCAGACCUCAGAGAUAUUGCAGGUUCAUUUCCCGACCACUGAACUAAGCGAAUAUUGUGAUAGAGUGCGUCAUACAAAUAUCUUGGUUUCCCAGUGCAUAUAUAAAUUGUGUUUACACUGUACUGUGGUCUGUUAAGUGUGCAAUAGCAUUAUGGGUUUUUUUUAAUUAACUUUUAUUUCAAUAGGAAAUUCUUAUGCAUUCCUGAACCCAGAGUGACACUAACUUAUGGCAACAUCAUAUUCCAUUGAGAUGGAUAAGUUACUUUAAUGAGCAACAUUAGCUGUCAUAACAUAACCUAAUAAGUCAUAUGACCUUCAAUUACUUGAUAAUACAAUCAUUUUGCCAUUGAAUGGUUUUAAAAGACAAUGUACAUACCUUAAAAGUCAUGUAUUACUAAAAGAUACUAAUCAUCAUCGGAGCCUUCAGCAAGUCAUUCACUAACAUCAAAGGUCACUUUAACAAAUGAUAAAGUUUGAAUUACCAAAUUACCAAAAUGGGACACAAUGACACGAAGUGAACAAAUGCUGUUGAAAAAAAUGGCUCCUAUAGACUUGCCUGACAGUGUUGCCAC
rnacentral:lncRNA from 1 species